rnacentral:rRNA from 1 species
UACGUAGGUGGCAAGCGUUGUCCGGAAUUACUGGGUGUAAAGGGCGUGUAGGCGGGAAGGCAAGUCAGAUGUGAAAGCCCAUGGCUUAACUGUGGAACUGCAUCUGAAACUGUUUUCUUGAGUACUGGAGAGGAAAGUGGAAUUCCUAGUGUAGCAGUGAAAUGCGUAGAGAUUAGGAGGAACACCAGUGGCGAAGGCGGCUUUCUGGACAGUAACUGACGCUGAGGCGCGAAAGCGUGGGGAGCAAACAGGAUUAGAUACCCGGGUAGU